UAUCUUUGCCCCCGCAACGGUUCGGAUGGAGUGAAAUCCGAUUAAAAGGGAAUCAGGUGAGAGUCCUGAACAGUCCCGCUGCUGUGAGUUCCAUGCGAUGAGUGUCGCAAACCAUUCUUUUGCCACUGGGGAUACCCCUGGGAAGGCGGUUUGCCGACGGGAACGAGUCAGAAGACCUGCCGCUUGCCUUUGUAUUUUC
rnacentral:ncRNA from 20 species